AUUGAACGCUGGCGGAAUGCUUUACACAUGCAAGUCGAACGGCAGCACGGACUUCGGUCUGGUGGCGAGUGGCGAACGGGUGAGUAAUGUAUCGGAACGUGCCCAGUCGUGGGGGAUAACGUAGUGAAAAUUACGCUAAUACCGCAUACGAUCUAUGGAUGAAAGCGGGGGAUCGCAAGACCUCGCGCGAUUGGAGCGGCCGAUAUCGGAUUAGGUAGUUGGUGGGGUAAAGGCCCACCAAGCCAACGAUCUGUAGCUGGUCUGAGAGGACGACCGGCCCCACUGGAACUGAGACACGGUCCAGACUCCUACGGGAGGAAGCAGUGGGGAAUUUUGGACAAUGGGCGAAAGCCUGAUCCAGCCAUUCCGCGUGCAGGAUGAAGGCCCUCGGGUUGUAAACUGCUUUUGUACAGAACGAAAAGGUUUCUACUAAUACUAGGAGCUCAUGACGGUACUGUAAGAAUAAGCACCGGCUAACUACGUGCCAGCAGCCGCCGUAA
rnacentral:rRNA from 1 species